rnacentral:lncRNA from 1 species
CUCGGCGGCGCGAAGUAGGCCGCGGUGCAACACGGGCAGCGGCCGCCGUGGCGCAGCAGGGAGCGCUGGACUAACCGAACCAGCGCCGUGCGCGCCCCCGCCCCACCUCUGGACGCGGCUGGGGAGAGGUGGGCCUGAGGCCCGGGAGAAAUGAAGGCCGCCCCGCCCCGCCCGCGCCCCUUUGCAGGCCCCCAUCGCUGCCUUCCCUGGGCCCGCGCUGCUGGGUUCCCAUCUGAGCCUGUCCGCUGGGCUGUAAAAUGGUAAGAUGUCCACUCUACUCUGCCUCUCCGAGCUGUCUGAGGCUGCUUAGGCCCACAAUGGGUGCACACCUGAAAUUGCAGCCACUGGAGAGGCCAAGGCAGGCCGGUCUCAAAGUCCAGGCCAGUCUUAGCAACUUAAGGAGGCCCUGUUUCAAAAUUAAAAAAAAGUCCUGGGGAUGUGGGUCAGUGGCGGGGCACACCUGGGUUGAAGCUGGGGCUCACCAGGAUGAGCACAUUCCCUCCCCCACACCUCACAUUGCUCCUGCCAUAUGGGCACGGAGCCUUCUGUCCUGGACCAGGGGACCCAGCUCAGCAUCCAUCACAGUGAUCCUGCAUCUGCACCCUGAGGACUCCAUUCCAGCUCUGUCUUGUCCUGGCCUGGCAUCCAGUCCUCAGUUGGAGGACCUUAAUGACUGAGGACCCGGCAGCCCUCUGCUGCCGACAGGGAGGAGAUGGAGCAGACCUCACUGGCUGGAAGGCUUUCUCCUCUGCCUCCGAGGGGCCAGAAGGGGCGACCCCGCUCAGGCUGGGCAGGACUCAGUGAUUCCUUUAACAGACUUGCACAGCAUCUGCAGAUUCCAAGAGCUCUCCUGCACCCCGACCUGGGUUGGGGUCUUCUAGGUAUGAUGGGUUCCAGGGGCUUCACCCCUGGUUUCCAAAGUGGCACUUUGCUAGCUCCUGAGGACCCGUCCACCACUGGGUGAAGGAUGCUCUUCAAGGUCAGUGGUCAGCCCCCAUUUUACAGAUGUGGAAACAAGUUACACCCCCAAAUCUCCAACCUGGAACUCUACCCAGGCCCCUGAAGGCCACCACACUUCCCAGCAGGGACCCUGGCUCUCCUGCUUCUCUGUGUCCUCACUGUGGAGCCCCAGUCCUGCCUCCAGACCCCACCUCUCCUUCUGAAGGGCAAAGACUGACCCAGCCACCAACCACCCUGACCCGUUCAGGGGCAGAUGAGGAGCCCACACAAAGCCGCUGGCUCAGGGUCCCCCAUUGCCACCCAUAGGUCACAAAGUUCAGUUGCAUGGACAUGAGGUCAGGGGGAGAAGGGGAGUCUGGAGAGUGUGGCUGCCCGCCACAGGAAGUGCGCUGGCUGCUGUGUGGCGGUCCUCCCCCAGGUCAAGGAGAUUACGGACACCACCCUUUCUGGCAGCUUCCCUCGUGGGACAGGCACUGGGGAGGAAGAUGCCAGAGGUCGGAGGAAGCAGAGCCCCCAGCCCUGGCCAGUCACUCCAGCUCCAGUGUGUCCUUGGACUUUUCCUAGCUGGCAGCCCUGGGAGGACUCAGGCCAUUCCCUCACUGUGGGCAAGUAGCUCCCGUAUGCAGGGCAAGCCUGGCCUGCCACCAACACGGGGAGGGGCCUCAAGAGAUCUCUCUCCAAGGCCAGCCGAGGCCAUCUAGCAGCACCCUGUUCAAAGAGGGCACGAUCUGGCUGGGGUUGUGGCUCUGUGGUAGAGCACUCUCCUAGCACGGGAGAUACUGAGGUCAAGUCUCAGCACCACGUAAAAUGAAUAAAUAAGUAAAGGUGUCGUGUCCACCUAUAAAUAAAACUAAAAUUGUUGAAAAAAAAAAGAGGAUAAGACCCACACGGUAGGGUGGGCCCAGGGCAGGAAGGUGGCAGGAACCUCAUGGUCUUCAGCACAGGUGCAGAAAUGGGCCCAGGGCAACUAGGGCUAGAGACUGGCAGGGGAGACCAGGUCUGCCUGUCCCUCCACAGGCCUGAGGGCUGCCAGUCAGCCCAGCAGAACACUCUCCUAGCUGCCUCUGUGUCACCCAUGGCGGUGUGUCCCCAGGAGCUGGCUGGAAACAGGGUCACCUGCCACUCCCCUGCCAACUGGGUCCAAACCCAGAGUCAGGGAAGACCCCCCGUGACGCACACGGAGGGCAGGUCCAGGCGU